rnacentral:rRNA from 1 species
CGGGUGAGUAAUGCUUAGGAAUCUGCCCAGUAGUGGGGGACAACUCGAGGAAACUCGAGCUAAUACCGCAUACGCCCUAUGGGGGAAAGUGGAGGAUCUUCGGACUUCACGCUAUUGGAUGAGCCUAAGUCGGAUUAGCUUGUUGGUGAGGUAAAAGCUUACCAAGGCGACGAUCCGUAGCUGGUCUGAGAGGACGAUCAGCCACACUGGGACUGAGACACGGCCCAG